rnacentral:tRNA from 1 species
GAGGAAGUAGCUCAAUGGUAGAGCACUGGGCUUUUUACCCUUCGCCUAUGGCACAAAGGGUUCCUAAAAAUCCGGACCCAUCGUUGCAGGUUCAAGUCCUGUCUUCCUCGCCA